rnacentral:rRNA from 1 species
CUACCAUGCAGUCGAACGAGAAGGGUAGCAAUACCUGAGUAAAGUGGCGCACGGGUGAGUAACACGUGACUAACCUACCUUUUAGUGGGGGAUAACCUCGGGAAACCUGGGCUAAUACCGCAUAAUACCUACGGGUCAAAGCAGCAAUGCGCUGAAAGAGGGGGUCGCGGUCGAUUAGUUAGUUGGCAGGGUAAUGGCCUACCAAGACUGUGAUCGAUAUCCGGCCUGAGAGGGCGCACGGACACACUGGAACUGAAACACGGUCCAGACUCCUACGGGAGGCAGCAGUGGGGAAUCUUGCGCAAUGGGCGAAAGCCUGACGCAGCAACGCCGCGUGAGGGAUGAAGGCCUUCGGGUUGUAAACCUCUUUCAAGCAGGGACGAUAGUGACGGUACCUGCAGAAGAAGCUCCGGCCAACUACGUGCCAGCAGCCGCGGUAAUACGUAGGGAGCGAGCGUUGUCCGGAUUUAUUGGGCGUAAAGAGCUCGUAGGCGGCUUGGUAAGUCGGAUGUGAAACCUCCAGGCUCAACCUGGAGUCGCCAUCCGAUACUGCCAUGGCUAGAGUCCGGUAGGGGCCCACGGAACUCCUGGUGUAGCGGUGAAAUGCGCAGAUAUCAGGAAGAACACCGGUGGCGAAGGCGGUGGGCUGGGCCGGCACUGACGCUGAGGAGCGAAAGCGUGGGGAGCGAACAGGAUUAGAUACCCUGGUAGUCCACGCCGUAAACGUUGGGCACUAGGUGUGGGACCUUUCAACGGGUUCCGUGCCGUAGCUAACGCAUUAAGUGCCCCGCCUGGGGAGUACGGCCGCAAGGCUAAAACUCAAAGGAAUUGACGGGGCCCGCCCAGCCGCCGAGCAUGUUGCUAAUCGAGCACGCGAGAUCCUACUGG